rnacentral:lncRNA from 1 species
CAGAGAACAUCAAAUAGCAAAUGAAUAGCAUCAUAAGAAGUCAAGAGAAAGACCAUGGAAGAAAGAAGAAACUUUAACAGCGCUUUUUUCAUGAUCUUUGAACAAGGAGCUCUAAAUUAUCAUUUUGCACUGGCUCUGUCCCAGCUCAUGUUUGUUGAGUGAAUAAAUAAAUAAAUAAAUGCAUACAUACAUAUUUAUUAGUACAUGGAACACACUGAUUAUCUUCCAUUUCCUAACAACACUGUAUGUAAUCAGGAUUGCAGGCAUGUUAUGAAAUACUAG